rnacentral:lncRNA from 1 species
AUGCGUCUGUGUGCUCCCUGGGUGUAUGUGUGUAGCUCGGUUUUAUGGACACCCUCGCGUGGCCGGUACCCCAGUGUCCCAACGUGUCCCGACAUCCCCUCCCGUGGGUAUGUGCCUGGAAACCCUUUGCACACCCUUCCCUGUGUUUGUGGUCCGCGUGCCUUUGUGCGCCUGUGCUCCCCGUGCGCCUUUGAGGUCUACGUGCGUCUGGGUCCCUGCGUGUGCCCGCUCGCGCCCCCGUGUCCCCCGCGCGGGCCCCGGGAGCUGCGUCCUCACGCCCCGUGGGCAUCCCCGCGUGCGUCCCGGGGCGCCUGGCGGGAGGCCCCGGGGCACACGCGGGCGCCGCCGGACCCACCGCCCGGCACGGCGCGGGGAGGAGGGAGGGGGCGGCGGCGGCGGGGAGCGCGGGCACGUCACCGAGACAGACAGGCGGGCGGGCGGGCGGGAGGCGGCGGCCGCGGGUUCGAGCCGGCGCCGGAGCCCCGCGGCCCCCUCCCCCGGCCCGCGGCCUGGGGGGCCCCCGCCCAGCCCCGAAGCCGCCGAAAUGCAAUUUCCCGUGCAGGCGCCUCGACUCAGGGGGCUUUUCCGGGCUGGUUUGGAAAGAAGAGGGGCAACGCGGCGGCGGCCCGAAACGAGGUCAAGGUCAGAGCCCUCAAGGAAGCAAGACAGAGAGGAGGCGCAGGAGGAAAAGUGUAUCUGGAGGAGUCCCCCACCAAUGUGGCCAGUACCUCAUGCCUGAUGACCCCUCAUUCUAGCGCCACAGUCAUCACAAGCAAAGCUUUUGAGGAACCUGGUGUCCCUGGGGGCAAUAACCGCCUGGCAGCCAGACGUCUUGGGGCCACGAGGAAUCCCUCCUCUGCCUCUCUCUAGCGUGCCCUUUGGCCUGGACUCCCAAACUGACAAAUAGGAGUAAUCUGCACCUUCUAGGGCCCUUUUGAAGAGGACUUGAGCAAAUGUGUCAAGAAGCAAGCCCAGCGCCCAGUACUGGUCUACAUCUGUGUAGCAAAAGCUACAUAAAUAUCUGCAGUUAUUAUUAUUAUUUAUAUUUAUCUUGUGCUUUUUCCAGGUCCUGGAGCAGACAGGUCCUGUUUGCUGACUUACUGAGUCAAUAGGGCCCUCCCUCCCUCCCUUCUCUCUCCUCCCCCAGGAUAUCCGUGUUUUCUGCCCCCUAUCCCCACCCCACCCCCAGUCCUGGCCCCUGGAGAAGUUGCCAAGGGUUUGGGGGAACAUUCA